CAAUAGCGUAUAUUUAAGUUGCUGCAGUUAAAAAGCUCGUAGUUGGAUUUCGGGUGGGAAUGGCCGGUCCGCCGUUUCGGUGUGCACUUGCUACGCCCACCUUGCUGCCGGGGACGUGCUCUUGAGUUCACGCUCGGGACACGGAGUCGGCGAGGUUACUUUGAGUAAAUUAGAGUGUUCAAAGCAGGCCUACGCUCUGAAUACAUUAGCAUGGAAUAACACGAUAGGACUCUGGCCUAUCUUGUUGGUCUGUAGGACCGGAGUAAUGAUUAAGAGGGACAGUCGGGGGCAUUCGUAUUUCAUUGUCAGAGGUGAAAUUCUUGGAUUUAUGAAAGACGAACUACUGCGAAAGCAUUUGCCAAGGAUGUUUUCAUUAG
rnacentral:rRNA from 1 species